UGCCAGACUCCUACGGGAGGCAGCAGUGAGGAAUAUUGGUCAAUGGGCGCGAGCCUGAACCAGCCAAGUCGCGUGAGGGAUGACGGCCCUACGGGUUGUAAACCUCUUUUGCCGGGGAGCAACGGGCGCCACGUGUGGCGCCACUGAGAGUACCCGGAGAAAAAGCAUCGGCUAACUACGUGCCAGCAGCCGCGGUAAUACGUAGGGGGCAAGCGUUAUCCGGAUUUACUGGGUGUAAAGGGAGCGUAGACGGCGGUGCAAGCCAGAUGUGAAAGCCCGGGGCUCAACCCCGGGACUGCAUUUGGAACUGUGCUGCUAGAGUGUCGGAGAGGCAGGCGGAAUUCCUAGUGUAGCGGUGAAAUGCGUAGAUAUUAGGAGGAACACCAGUGGCGAAGGCGGCCUGCUGGACGAUGACUGACGUUGAGGCUCGAAAGCGUGGGGAGCAAACAGGAUUAGAUACCCGCGUA
rnacentral:rRNA from 1 species